ACUGUCUUAUUUGCAUAAUUAUACUAGGUUUUACCCAUAUGACUUUCAUAUUUGGUGAGAGAGGAAAGAGUUCCUCAGGGGCCUUGAGGUGGCCCCAGGGUGGCCUCUCUUGCUUAGAGGAACACCACAGGC